GACAGAGGCCUCGAGCGUUAGGCGGAAUCACUGGGCUUAAAGCGUGUGUAGGCGGGCCCGUAAGUGUCUUGUGAAAUCCCACGGCUCAACCGUGGAACUGCUGGGCAUACUGCGGGUCUUGGGCCAACUAGGGGCAGCCGGAACAAGCGGUGGAGCGGUGAAAUGCGUAGAUAUCGGAAGGAACAUCAGUGGCGAAAGCGACUUCCUGGACCAGUACCGACGUUCAGGCACGAAAGCGUGGGGAGCAAACAGG
rnacentral:rRNA from 1 species